rnacentral:piRNA from 1 species
GUGUUACUAUGAGCCUAGUUC